ACAAAAAUAUAGAUGACCAUCUUAGCCACCUGCGCUCUAGGGACACUGAUUGUUGUCAGCUUAGUCCUUGUUUCUGGGUCUUUCCAACAGAGUGAGGGGAUAUAGAUGUGGCAAUAAGCUCCCUGCAUUCACAUUGAUCAUCAGUUCAAAUUCAGCACUACAGAGCUUUGAGGACCCUCUUUCAAUACUCUCUGUCAUGUGUGUACCUCCUCUUUCUUUCCUUUUCUCCUUUUUCCCCUUGUUUUUGCAGAGCUGGGGAUAGAACCCAGGGCCUCACAAUGCAAGUGCUGACCACUGAGCCACACCCCCCGCCCUGCCUGUCUUUCUCAAGAGGAAACGAGCCUGGACCACAGAAGAGCUCAGGGACUCGGGCUGCUGAAGAGGAGAUGGCCCGUGAUCACACCCACUGGACCGUGCUCUCAGGAUCACAGCACCAGUACUGCCGGGAACAUACUCAGGUUGUUUGGGAGCGUGUGCCCUCCAUUCUCUCUCCAUUUGAAAUAAGAGUCAUUUAAUUGGGGUGUGGUGGGGAUCGCAUCUGUGCUCCCAGCUGCUCCGGAGGCUGAGGGCCUGGCCAACACAGGGAGACUCUGCCUCAAAAUAAAAAAUAGUAAGGGCUGGGGGAGUAGCCCAGGGCCGAGAGCCUGCCACCACGUGUGAGGCCCUGGGUCCCAGGCCCAGUUCCACACACACACACACACACACACACACCCGCUGUCCCUGCGUGUGCCGGCAGAGCAUACCUCAUUCUUCCCACGUGGUAAGGUUUAGAUGUGAGGUGUCCCCAGAAGCUCGUGUGUGUUAUGUAGGGUGACUGUAGGCAGGAAGGCUGUGGCU
rnacentral:lncRNA from 1 species